rnacentral:rRNA from 1 species
GCUUACGGCCAUACCAACUUGUCUGCGUCCGAUCUCGUCUGAUCUCGGUAGCUAAGCAGGGUCGGGCCUGGUUAGUAUUUGGAUGGGAGACCGCCUGGGAAUACCAGUUGCUGUAAGCU